rnacentral:lncRNA from 1 species
UCAAAUAUCUUACAGCAUAACAUGUUAUAAUUUUUCAUUAACUUUAAUAAAUUCUAAUCUAAAAUAAAGAUAUCAAAUUCUGCUUCUAAUUUACUCUCUCAUAAUGAAUCUUCGAGUCAAGCUAGUCCUCUAAGUUUGUAAAAAUUAUAAAAUAUAAAGUAAUAAGCUAGACAACCUAGUAAGCAAUAUAUAGUUUGGCC